rnacentral:rRNA from 1 species
UACGUAGGGGGCAAGCGUUGUCCGGAAUCAUUGGGCGUAAAGAGCGUGUAGGCGGUCCGGUAAGUCGGCUGUGAAAGUCCAGGGCUCAACCCUGGGAUGCCGGUCGAUACUGCCGGACUAGAGUUCGGAAGAGGCGAGUGGAAUUCCCGGUGUAGCGGUGAAAUGCGCAGAUAUCGGGAGGAACACCUAUGGCGAAGGCAGCUCGCUGGGACGUUACUGACGCUGAGGAGCGAAAGCGUGGGGAGCAAACAGG